rnacentral:snoRNA from 14 species
AAGCCAUGGUGAGGGCAUUGGUUGGUGUACCCUUGAAACGCUCCCAUACUUCACAGAAGCUUACACCAGUCUUCUGUGAAAAACAAGAAAAUCUCAUUUCUGAGUCU